UGGGGAAUAUUGGACAAUGGGCGAAAGCCUGAUCCAGCCAUGCCGCGUGUGUGAAGAAGGCCUUUUGGUUGUAAAGCACUUUAAGCGAGGAGAAGGCUACCGAGAUUAAUACUCUUGGAUAGUGGACGUUACUCGCAGAAUAAGCACCGGCUAACUCUGUGCCAGCAGCCGCGGUAAUACAGAGGGUGCGAGCGUUAAUCGGAUUUACUGGGCGUAAAGCGUGCGUAGGCGGCUUUUAAGUCGGAUGUGAAAUCCCUGAGCUUAACUUAGGAAUUGCAUUCGAUACUGGGAAGCUAGAGUAUGGGAGAGGAUGGUAGAAUUCCAGGUGUAGCGGUGAAAUGCGUAGAGAUCUGGAGGAAUACCGAUGGCGAAGGCAGCCAUCUGGCCUAAUACUGACGCUGAGGUACGAAAGCAUGGGGAGCAAACAGGAUUAGAUACCCUGGUAGUCCAUGCCGUAAACGAUGUCUACUAGCCGUUGGGGCCUUUGAGGCUUAGUGGCGCAGCUGAACGCGAUAAGUAGACCGCCUGGGGAGUACGGUCGCAAGACUAAAACUCAAAUGGAAUUGACGGGGUCAUAGCUGUUU
rnacentral:rRNA from 1 species